AUGGCUGCUGGAAGACAUGGGGGUUAUCGUGAAAAUGAGUUCAGGGAACGAGAGUCCGGUUUUGAGUUGCCAAGAAAGGAUUUUGCUACGGCCAAGGAGGACUAUGAACGGAUUAGGAACGGAAACCCUGAUGUUGAAAGGGGUCAAGUUAGGGAUUUGAGAGAUAAAAUUAGGGUUAGGCAGAAGGAUUUUAAGGAGGGGAAUGCGGCUAAUGGUGGUGGGUAUCGCUCCUCUUCGAGUAGGAGUGAUUCAAGCAAUAGCAGUGGUCGGGUUGUGAGCCGUGGGCCCAAGCCUUGUGGGUUUUCUCUUAGGGCAUUGGACAGGGAACCUGGUGAAUUGUCGAGUGAGAGUGGGUCUGACGAUGCUAUUGAAUCUGCAGUGCAGGUCAAAGAAAAUAUGGUUCCAAAAGUGGUGGAGAAUGGAACUCAGUCUCCGAAAGAGAGGAAAAGGAAGUUUUCGCCAAUUGUCUGGGAUAGAGAUGACCAAGGAGUGAGUAAUCUAUCAAAAAAUAGGAUUACCACAGUGGCAGCAGCACUUCCUCCACAACCUCCAUUGUCUAGGGUACAUCAUCAGUCUCCCAAUGUUAUUUCAGAUAACAGCGUACAAAUAUCUUCAGCUAAAAUUGAUCAAGUCGAGAAUUUACAAUCUUCCUCACCAGUUAAGGCACCGGUGGGAUCUCGGUCUGUUAGCAAUGGUGUUUCUGAGUCUCCAUUAGGGAUAUCUUCAACAAAUCAGAAAUCGGGUGAUGAUCAUGAAGCAGAGCAGCUAGGAGAUGAAGAAUAUGUUCCCACCCGGAAUAUAUCAUCUUCAAGAUGGGCAGCAGGAAAUAAUUCACCUGGGGAUGAAGGUGAAAUUCUAGAGAACAAGGAAAUGCCUAAAAGGAGGAAGAAAAUACCUCUGGUAGGGUUAGUGGAAGAUAGAGUACAGAAUAAUUCAUUAACCCCCGAGUCAGGGGAGCUUAAGAGAGACGAGUCUGAACGAGCAAGAGGGCAGUCAUCUGAAUCUGAUGAAGGAGAUGCCCAUACAAGGUCUUCCAGUAGGGAUGUUUACCAGGAUAAUGAUUCAGAGAGGGAUGACUAUAUGGACACUGACAAGGAUCUUGGUAAUAAUGAUUCUAGUGUUAGUCAGUCAGAAACAAAUUCAGAUGAUGACAAUAACUCUCGUGAGACAGCUGAACCUGCAGCCCCUCCACAAAGAAGUGUAAACAUGCUUCAGGGUUGUAGAAGUGUUGACGAGUUUGAGAGACUAAACAAGAUAGAUGAAGGCACUUAUGGUGUUGUAUAUAGAGCUAUGGAUAAGAAAACUAAAGAAAUUGUGGCCUUGAAGAAGGUAAAGAUGGAGAAGGAAAGGGAAGGUUUUCCAUUGACUUCUCUUAGGGAAAUAAACAUUCUUCUUUCGCUUCAUCACCCAUCAAUUGUCGAUGUGAAGGAAGUAGUGGUGGGGAGUAACCUUGAUAGUAUUUUUAUGGUGAUGGAAUACAUGGAACAUGAUCUUAAAGCACUCAUGGAGACAAAGAAGCAGCCAUUCAGUCAGAGUGAAGUUAAAUGCCUUAUGCUCCAGUUAUUAGCAGGUGUGAAAUAUCUCCAUGAUAAUUGGGUGCUUCAUCGAGAUUUGAAGACAUCAAACUUGCUUAUGAAUAACCGGGGUGAGUUGAAAAUAUGUGACUUUGGGUUGGCUCGUCAGUAUGGGAGUCCUUUAAAACCAUAUACUCAUUUGGUGGUUACUCUUUGGUACAGGGCACCGGAACUUCUGUUGGGAGUGAAGGAAUAUUCAACAGCUAUCGAUAUGUGGUCACUUGGUUGUAUCAUGGCUGAACUAUUAUCAAAGGAGCCACUUUUCAAUGGGAAAACUGAAUUUGAUCAACUUGACAAGAUUUUUAAAAUCCUUGGCACACCAAAUGAGACGAUCUGGCCCGGCUAUUCCAAGCUUCCUGGAGUGAAGGUCAACUUUGUUAAGCACCCGUAUAAUCUUUUGCGCAAGAAGUUCCCAGCUACGGCAUUUACUGGAUCUCCAGUACUUUCUGAUGCUGGGUUUAAUUUGUUGAACAGGCUUCUAACUUAUGAUCCUGAGGAGAGAAUUACAGCUGGAGAUGCUCUGAAUCAUGAGUGGUUUCGUGAAGUUCCUCUUCCUACAACAAAGGAGUUCAUGCCUACCUUUCCUGCUCAACAUGCUCAGGACAGGCGCACACGGAGAGUUUUAAAGAGUCCAGAUCCUUUGGAAGAGCAACGUAGAAAGGAGUUGCAGCAAGGGCAAAUAGGAACUGGUGGUGUGUUUGGCUAGUAGAAAUGAAUCAGUGAUCAGCGCCCUAUUGCACAUGGCUGAGGUGAGAGACAUGCUUUGAACGGAAGUUGCAAACGUUCUAUGUCAGACGAUCAUUUGUGCUGUUUUUUAGCAGGCAUUUCUUCAUGAUUUGGUUGGAGAAUGUAUUAUUGUAUGCCUUCCCUGUCAACCAAGAUUUGUUGCAGGUGUAAAGUGGAGGGGCGUUCUUUACUUUUCCUUGAUGAAGAGUUUGUCAGUUACCAUAUUAUUUUUAAAGUAUCAAAGCAAGCAAAUUGAGGAGGUUUCCUGCACUUCCAGGAAUUUAUAGAACUUCAAUUAGUUGUUCCUACUGGCAAACUAGAGAAGAGUAUUGAGAAAUGCGUUAGAAAGGAAAAUGAAGAAUAAAAACCAAUUCUGGUUGCAAUUCCAGGACAGUUCAUAUUCCAAUUCUGGUUGCAAUUCCAGGACAGUUCAUAUAAUUGAAUAAAAUUCAAUGCUGCUUAAAAUCGGAAUGCAUAGACUGAAAUGGCAUGGCUGGAGUCGAAUGGGUUGCUUGAAGACGGAAUAUAGUUGUUCGCUUCCCAUUCACUUAACCAAAUAUCGUAUGAGGAGAUCCUAGGUGGAAUAUAGACAUAGUUUGCCAUAUAUUGUCUGCAGGUGGGGGGCUGAUGAGGUUCGACAGGCAGAUUAGGGCGGUAGAGGCGUUUCCCGCGCACGUACAGGUAUUGGCUGAUGAAGUUUAUGCACGAUCACAGCUAUUGAUCUGCCUAUGUGCGACUCAAAUUCUGUUCCACAUGACCGAAAAUGUUAGGUUGUUUUUGGGCGCUGAGCAGUCAGUAGGGUAUUGAUGUCAUUCGUUUUCGAUCCAUUCCAAAUAUUUGAUGUUUAGUUUACGCUGUAUUCUGUGUCGCGCGGCAAAGAAACCUUGGUACCGAGGUGAAAAUUGUUGCAAUUGGGUUCGGCAGACGUGUUGGUCUUUUGGAAGGUGCACAGCAAAUGGGCGCUGUGCUGCCUCGUCUCAAAGGAUGUCUUCCUUUUUUCUGGCGGAUGGUGCAAUCCUCUUCGUUGCGUUCCUUUUUGGUUUCUGUUUGUAAAUAAUAACUCGACUUACCUGUCCGAGUUACGUGUUCGCAUUUUAGCUUGUUGCACGACAAUCCGAAACUCUGAGGACAGCUUUUGCAACUUCAAAACUUUAGAGAACCUUCGGUGUCUA